rnacentral:rRNA from 1 species
CCUACGGGCGGCAGCAGUGAGGAAUAUUGGUCAAUGGACGAGAGUCUGAACCAGCCAAGUAGCGUGAAGGAUGACUGCCCUAUGGGUUGUAAACUUCUUUUAUAUGGGAAUAAAAUGUUCCACGUGUGGGAUUUUGUAUGUACCAUAUGAAUAAGGAUCGGCUAACUCCGUGCCAGCAGCCGCGGUAAUACGGAGGAUCCGAGCGUUAUCCGGAUUUAUUGGGUUUAAAGGGAGCGUAGGUGGAUUGUUAAGUCAGUUGUGAAAGUUUGCGGCUCAACCGUAAAAUUGCAGUUGAAACUGGCAGUCUUGAGUACAGUAGAGGUGGGCGGAAUUCGUGGUGUAGCGGUGAAAUGCUUAGAUAUCACGAAGAACUCCGAUUGCGAAGGCAGUUCACUGGACUGCAACUGACACUGAGGCUCGAAAGUGUGGGUAUCAAACAGGAUUAGAUACCCCUGUAGUU